UACGUAGGGCGCAAGCGUUGUCCGGAUUUAUUGGGCGUAAAGAGCGUGUAGGCGGCCAGGUAGGUCCGUUGUGAAAACUCGAGGCUCAACCUCGAGACGUCGAUGGAAACCAUCUGGCUAGAGUCCGGAAGAGGAGAGUGGAAUUCCUGGUGUAGCGGUGAAAUGCGCAGAUAUCAGGAAGAACACCUAUGGCGAAGGCAGCUCUCUGGGACGGUACUGACGCUGAGACGCGAAAGCGUGGGGAGCGAACAGG
rnacentral:rRNA from 1 species